CAGGGAAAGGGUGAGAAUCACACUCUCGCACGCGGGGAGAGACAGAGCGAUGAAAGAAGGAAAAUGAGCCUCGCACUAACAGACCAGCAGGAAGAAAAGCAUCAAACAGCUGAUUUCCCCCCUGCUUUCAACUCUUGCCUGCCGUAUUCUUAGCACACCAGAUCGGUGUGCUGCCUUAAAGGAUGUGGAGCAAAGGAGAGUCGGAAGGGCUCCAGACUUUAGGGAUCGUGGUGGUGAUUUGUUCCUCUCUGAAACUUUUGCACUAUCUUGGACUAAUAGACUUGUCAGAUGGCUGCUGUCCCAGAACUACGAGAUCCAUCCAGCAGCUCCUUUCAUGAAAACUGGAUGAAAGUCCACCCCAUAACCAGCAACAAUGUCCAGGAUUUCUUCUUGCUGUUUUCUCCAUUGGGCUAUGCUCUAGACAGGUUCCUGUACCUUCGCAGGCUCCAUGAGAAAUAGUUAGGCAACACGUGAAGGUAUUCCUAACAAGGAACUGGGACCAUUAGGAACACUGUGUCUGCUAUCUUAUUGUUUGUCAAGCCACAGAUGUUCUGCUGGAGAGACUAAUUGGCAACCUUGCACAUGUGCCUAUCCAUUUCAGUUUCUCCAUUCCAUUGUGUUCAAUAAAAGCUCUGAUUUUGCCA